UCCAAGAAACGAAAGAAUUCG
rnacentral:miRNA from 1 species